UGGGGAAUAUUGGACAAUGGGCGAAAGCCUGAUCCAGCCAUGCCGCGUGUGUGAAGAAGGUCUUCGGAUUGUAAAGCACUUUAAGUUAGGAGGAAGGGCAGUAAGCGAAUACCUUGCUGUUUUGACGUUACCGACAGAAUAAGCACCGGCUAACUCUGUGCCAGCAGCCGCGGUAAUACAGAGGGUGCAAGCGUUAAUCGGAAUUACUGGGCGUAAAGCGCGCGUAGGUGGUUCGUUAAGUUGAAUGUGAAAGCCCCGGGCUCAACCUGGGAACUGCAUCCAAAACUGGCGAGCUAGAGUAGGGCAGAGGGUGGUGGAAUUUCCUGUGUAGCGGUGAAAUGCGUAGAUAUAGGAAGGAACACCAGUGGCGAAGGCGACCACCUGGGCUCAUACUGACACUGAGGUGCGAAAGCGUGGGGAGCAAACAGG
rnacentral:rRNA from 1 species